AAUAAAGUGCCUGAAUAAAGGGUUAUUCUGAUAGAAUAAAUUAUGUAAAUUUCUUACCUUUAUUA
rnacentral:tRNA from 1 species